GUGAUUUUUUAAGAGCUUGAUAACUUUUUUUAAAAAAAAAACGCAUAAAAUUUGCAAAAUCUCAUCGGUUCUUUCUUUGAAACGUUAGAUUGGUUCAUGACAUUUACUUUUUGAAGAUAAUUUCAUUUAAAUGUUGACCGCGGCUGCGUCUUAGGUGGUCCAUUCGGAAAGUCCAAUUUUGGGCAACUUUUUCGAGCAUUUCGGCCGGAAUAGCCCGAAUUUCUUCGGAAAUGUUGUCUUCCAAAGCUGGAAUAGUUGCUGGCUUAUUUCUGUAGGCUUUAGACUUGACGUAGCCCCACAAAAAAUAGUCUAAAGGCGUUAAAUCGCAUGAUCUUGGUGGCCAACUUACGGGUCCAUUUCUUGAGAUGAAUUGUUGUCCGAAGUUUUCCCUCAAAAUGGCCAUAGAAUCGCGAGCUGUGUGGCAUGUAGCGCCAUCUUGUUGAAACCACAUGUCAACCAAGUUCAGUUCUUCCAUUUUUGGCAACAAAAAGUUUGUUAGCAUCGAACGAUAGCGAUCGCCAUUCACCGUAACGUUGCGUCCAACAGCAUCUUUGAAAAAAAUACGGUCCAAUGAUUCCACCAGCGUACAAACCACACCAAACAGUGCAUUUUUCGGGAUGCAUGGGCAGUUCUUGAACGGCUUCUGGUUGCUCUUCACCCCAAAUGCGGCAAUUUUGCUUAUUUACGUAGCCAUUCAACCAGAAAUGAGCCUCAUCAUAAGUCGGACGUAAAGCGCGAAACACAUUUCGAACCGAACACUGAUUUUGGUAAUAAAAUUCAAUGAUUUGCAAGCGUUGCUCGUUAGUAAGUCUAUUCAUGAUGAAAUGUCAAAGCAUACUGAGCAUCUUUCUCUUUGACACCAUGUCUGAAAUCCCACGUGAUCUGUCAAAUACUAAUGCAUGAAAAUCCUAACCUCAAAAAAAUCACCCGUUAUAAUUAUUCCA